rnacentral:rRNA from 1 species
UUAUGUACAUUCCCUCAACAUUAAUGCACUAGAUCCCAUUAGAACUAUGGAAUUAAGCACACUUGGGAUAGAGUAGUAUUGGGAUGGGCGACCUCUUGGAAAUUACUAGUCUUUUACAUGCC